AUAUCAAUAAGCGGAGGAAAAGAAACCAACAGGGAUUGCCCCAGUAACGGCGAGUGAAGCGGCAACAGCUCAAAUUUGAAAUCUGGCCCCCCGCGGGUCCGAGUUGUAAUUUGCAGAGGAUGCUUUGGGCGAGGGACCUUCCGAGUUCUCCUGGAACGGGACGCCAGAGAGGGUGAGAGCCCCGUACGGUCGGACCCCGAGCCCGCGUAAAGCUCCCUCGAAGAGUCGAGUAGUUUGGGAAUGCUGCUCCAAGCGGGAGGUAAACCCCUUCUAAAGCUAAAUACCUGCCAGAGACCGAUAGCGCACAAGUAGAGUGAUCGAAAGAUGAAAAGCACUUUGGAAAGAGAGUCAAACAGCACGUGAAAUUGUUGAAAGGGAAGCGCUUGCGGCCAGACCUGCGCGCCGCGGCUCAGCCGUCCCUCGCGGGCGGUGCACUCCGCGGCGUGCAGGCCAGCAUCGUCUCGCGGUCGGGAACAAGGGCGGUGGGAACGUGGCUCCCCCAGGGGAGUGUUAUAGCCCGCCGCUACGCCCCUCCGCGGGUCGAGGAACGCGCCCUCUGGGCAAGGAUGCUGGCGUAAUGGUCGCCAGCGACCCGUCUUGAAACACGGACCAAGGAGUCGUCCUAGCAUGCGAGUGUUCGGGCGUCGAAACCCCAGCGCGAAAUGAAAGUGAACGGAGGUGGGAGCCCCCCGGGGCGCACCAUCGACCGAUCCUGAAGUUCUACGGAUGGAUUUGAGUAGGAGCAUGCUGGGCCGGACCCGAAAGAAGGUGAACUAUGCUUGGAUAGGGCAAAGCCAGAGGAAACUCUGGUGGAGGCUCGCAGCGGUUCUGACGUGCAAAUCGAUCGUCGAAUCUGAGCAUGGGGGCGAAAGACUAAUCGAACCUUCUAGUAGCUGGUUUCCGC
rnacentral:rRNA from 1 species